rnacentral:rRNA from 1 species
UACGAACCGUGCGAACGUUAUUCGGAAUCACUGGGCUUAAAGGGCGCGUAGGCGGGCCACCAAGUCAGGGGUGAAAUCCCACGGCUCAACCGUGGAAGUGCCCUUGAUACUGGUGGCCUCGAGGGAGGCAGGGGCGUGCGGAACUUUGGGUGGAGCGGUGAAAUGCGUAGAUAUCCAAAGGAACACCGGUGGCGAAAGCGGCGCGCUGGACCUCUUCUGACGCUGAGGCGCGAAAGCCAGGGGAGCAAACGGG